rnacentral:lncRNA from 1 species
UCACUGUAGCCUCGACAUCCGGACUCUAGAGAUCCUCCCACCUCAGCCUCCCUGAGCUUUCUUUUGUUAUCUUUUCCAACCCAUGUUUUGAAGAUUUUUGUCUUCAAACGUUUUUCAAAGCAAUCCUUGAUUUUGUUGUUUUAAAAUUAAUCCAAAGCCCAGUUCCUCCAUCCCCAUUACAACUUUCACAUGCUAGGACUCUGAAAUCACUAGUUGAGGUGUCGUUUGAGGUCUCUGCCAGUUUUAAGAUUUUAUGGCUGGGAACCCCAAGACCUGGGCUGUAGCUCUGCUUUUUGUAAUUCAUUGUGACUUUGUGCAACACUUUUAAAAAAGUGGGUCCUUGUCUGUAAUAGAACUAUGGGAAAUAGUACUUGACAUGCUGUACGUUUACAUUUAUGAUCUCAGGUGGUGGUAUCAGCUCCCCUUUUAGCACUCAUGUUAGUGUAUGCAAUAAGUGCCAAAGGAGUUUGUUUCGUUUUGUUUUUAAUGGGGACUUUAUUUUGUGAGCUAAAGUGAACAAGAAACUAGAGGGGGGAAACUUGAGCUUGAGCCAUGGGUAGGAUUUGGGGAGGACUUCUUGAUGUUGGAAGAUGUAUUGAGAAAGGAGAGAGCAGGCCCCAGAGCUAGAUAGAGUACAGUUCAGGGGAAGAGUGUGGUUAUGCUGCAGGGGAUGUGGAACUCUUCAAGGGCAGAAACUGUUUUGUUCCUGUCUAUGCCAAGUACCUAGCACAGCAGUAGGGUAGGAUUAAAUGAUAUCUAAUAAUGAUAAAGUAGGCUGAAGUGGGAAGAAAGCAUUAGCAAAUAAACCAGGAUAUUGUUGGAUAUCAGAGUUAAGAGGUACUGUGAGCUUCAAUUAGAGGUUGGUAGUAGAGGCUGGUGGGCCAGUGUGUUUUAGAAGAAAUAAGAAGCCUUAUAUCACUAUGAGCCCUUCUGACAUUUUCUUCAUAUGUUCAUCGGAAACUUCUUGAUAAAGUGAACACUCCUAUUAAAAUAUGGACUGUUUAAAAAGGAUGUGAACUGACAAUUUACAAAAGAAAAUGGCCAAUAAAUGUGAAAAGAUGCUCAUCCUCACUAGUAAAUAAAGACAAAGUUUUAAACAAUGAAAGCUUUCUUAUCUCUUAGUUGAUCAGUGGCAUUGUAG